GAUUGCCAGCACGGCACAGGUGCCGGCGCGAGCCGGCGAAUAGGGAAUUCGGUGCCGCCGCAGAGGCUUGUGCUUUUGGCACACCUGCCCUUUUGCGGCAAUUCCGAAGCUGCCCCCGCAACUGUCAGCGGUGAGCCGUUGUCCAAUGCGCCACUGGGCGAAGACUCCUCACGAGUCGGACCUGGGAAGGCGGACAACGGCGAGGAUCCGCGAGCCAGGAGACCUGCCUGUACCGGUCAUCCUUC
rnacentral:ncRNA from 2 species